CAACCGAAGAAAAACUAACUCGUAAUUAUAUGGCUUAGUACAUAUAGGUUGGAUUUGAGUUCCUCGUUGAGGUUAUGUACCUAUACAACUCACGUCAGGUAACUUACACAUAAGAACGUCCAACAUCUAACCCCCGACAACAUUAUUAGGCUGGUUACUCACAAUCCCUACCCAUCAAAAAAUUUGGUUCACAAACAGACAAACCUACGACCUUAACAUGUCAAAC
rnacentral:lncRNA from 1 species